UGGGGAAUAUUGCACAAUGGCGCAAGCCUGAUGCAGCCAUGCCGCGUGUAUGAAGAAGGCCUUCGGGUUGUAAAGUACUUUCAGCGAGGGAGGCAUGUGUAUGAACACAGUGAUUGACGUUACUCGCAGAAGAAGCACCGGCUAACUCCGUGCCAGCAGCCGCGGUAAUACGGAGGGUGCAAGCGUUAAUCGGAAUUACUGGGCGUAAAGCGCACGCAGGCGGUCUGUCAAGUCGGAUGUGAAAUCCCCCGGGCUCAACCUGGGAACUGCAUUCGAAACUGGCAGGCUAGAGUCUUGUAGA
rnacentral:rRNA from 1 species